GGCUUUACGCAGGGGCAGCAUAAUAUCCAAUGAGGUUUAUCCAAGGUGUGAUUAUUGCUAACUAAAAACUAUCCCGGACUAAGACUUCACUCAUCCUAAAGCUCUGAAGUAAUGCUUGUUACUCUAACUGUACCUAGCCCUGGA